rnacentral:piRNA from 1 species
UCAUCAGAAAUUUGCCUGGGGCUUGGGU